UAAGAGAAUAAUAACUAUCAAUAAAACGCUAAGGCCAUUUCCUUCAUCACCAUUGACAUAACUGAUGACUAAUCUGAAGGUGGGAGGAAGCGGAGGAGGAGGGGGAGAAGGAAAACAACAACAACGUCAACAACUACAACAAUGACAACACAGAUUAAAUAGUUGUCUAAUACGGUCGUUAGGCGGGGGCCUGUUAGCUUGAAGAAGUAAGACCAAAUAUUAGAUCAAUUUUAAAAAAAGAACCUGAAUUACUACCUAAUUCUAAUUCAAAACCUCACCCUAACCCUAUUUAAGGCCUAUAUAAGAAGCUCACUCGAAGGGAUCUGAGUCACAUUUACAGAAGGUUACUAUUCUGUUGUGAUAGCGUUUUUGCAAGCCAUUCGUCUUAACUCUCGUUCGAUUCUAUAAUUGAUAAAAUUACAACAAUGGAGUUCCGUUUUGUGGCCGCCAUUCUCUUGAUCGCAGUGUCAACAGUCUACAGUCAAAGUAUCAUGACUCUGUGUCAGCAGACACAAAUUAGAGCCGGAUCACAUUUUGUCCGAUCACCAAGAAACUGCAGUGAAUUCUACUUAUGUAAUGCAAUGUUUCCCAUACCGAUGGCAUGUGGUUUUCGAACUGUGUUUUCUCAAUCUCAACAAGUCUGUGUGUGGUCGGGCAGCCAAUAUGAUGACUGCGACAAACCAGUUUAUGGAGGAAGAUUCGGUAAGUUUCUUUAUCUAUAUAUUUAUCAUUAUUGCUAUUAUUAUUAUUACUCAGUAAUUCUAUUUUUAUAGCGUACUUUCACUUCACUACCGAGCGCAGCUCAGUGUGCCUUGGGUAUGUGUUGUGAUUUGUGGUGCUCUGAUGGCUACUGUAUUGAAAGUGCUCUGAGUAGGAUGUGUGCGGUUGCCUAGUAGUGCAAUUUUCUGUUAUAUAUGUGUUUGUAAGUCCUGGUGUUUUUGCUAUAUUUUUUAUCGUGCUUAAUGCACCUGUUAUGAUAGGUAUUGUUUCUGUUUUUAGAUUCCACAUUCUGGUUACCUCUAUUUCCAGGUCUUUGUAUUUUGAAAGUUUCUCCAUUUCUUUUAGAGAUACGUUGUCAUCUGCUGGUAUUGACACAACAAUUAGAAAGCAUCUAUUUCUUCAUGAUCUCUGACAACUAUAUCUGGUCUGUUGGCCUUAAUUUCUCUAUCUGUGUGUAUUGGCAUAUCCCAGAGUAUGGUUGCUUUCUCGUUUUCUGUGACCUUUUCUGGUGUGUGCCUAUACCAUCUUUUUUCUGUUGUUAUUCCAUAAUGUUGGCAUAGCUUCCAGUGUAUGUAGGUCCCAACUCCGUCGUGUCUGUGAUUAUAUAUUCCUUCUUAGCCAGGACUGGGCAGCCAGAGAUAAUAUGAUUUAUUGUUUCUUGUCCAUCUCCACACAUUCUGCAGUUACUUGUUAGAUUUCUUUUCAUUACAUGUCUUUGGUAAUUUCUGGUGGGGAGGCUUUGGUCUUGUGUUGCAAUUAAAAAUCCUUCUGUCUCUGCUUUGAGUCCUGAGCUUCUCAACCAUUGCUGAGAUUUUUCUUUGUCUAUUUCUUUUGCAUUUAGUUUAGUCCAGUAUUUACCAUGAAGGGGCUUUUUUUGCCAUCGUUUUAGCAUGGUUCGUUGCUGUUCUAGUUUUAGUUUGGAUUUCAAUUGUUUUAUAGCUUUUGUUGUUUCUUCAUUUUCUUCUUUUUCAUAUUUGUUAGGUGGUAUGAUUUCUUGUUUGUAUUUUUCAGCUUCCCUAAAUACUGAGAACUGUCUUUUGUUUUGCUCGUGUUUUGCCACUAUUUGUAUCAGUUGUCCUUCCUUCUGAAGUAGAUAUUUUUGCAGUCCUAUGGUAGUUAUAUUAUAGUAGUUUUCCAGCUGUAUAAGGCCUCUACCACCUUCUAUACGUUGUAUAUAUACCCUUUGUAUGUUAGAUUUUGGGUGAUGCAUCCUAGAUCCUGUCAGCACGCCGGGCAAAAUGUGAAGUGAAAUUUCAUCCAUUCUGGGUUCAAAUUCCGCCGAGGUCGACUAAGUCUUUCAUCCUUUCGGGGUCGAAAAAGUAAGUACCAGUUGUGUACUGGUGUCAAUCUACUCGACUGGACCCUGCCCCAACAUUCCAGGCUUUGUGCUUAGAUUAGAAAGGGUUAUUAUUAUAAUAAUAAUUAUUAUUAUUAUUAUUAUUAUUAUUAUUAUUAUUAGUAGUAGUAGUAGUAGUAGUAGUAGUAGUAGUAGUAGUAGUAGUAGUAGUAGUAGUAGUAGUAGUAGUAGUAGUAGUGGAGGCGCUUGGCUUAGUGUUUAGGGUGUCAGCACCAUGAUCGUAAGAUUGUGGUUUCGAUUCCUGGACCGGGCGUCGCGUUCUGUUCUUGAGCAAAACACUUCAUUUCACGUUGCUCCAGUCCACUCAGCUGGCAAAAAUGAGUAACGCUGCGAUGGACUGGCGUGCCGUCCAGCUGGGGAACACAUACGCCAUUGAAACCGGGCCCAUGAGUCUUGCUAGGCUUUAAAAGGGCGCAUUUAUAUAAUAUUAUUCUUAUUAUUAUUAUUAAUAUUAUUAUUAUUAUUAUCAUUAUUAUUAUUAUUAUUAUUAUUAUUAUUAUUACUAUUACUAUUACUAUUAUUAUUUUUAUUUUUAAUAUUAUUAUUAUUAUUAUUAUUAUUAAUAUUAUUAUUAUUUUAUGUUUGACUUUUGCUUUACAUUUGCACAAGCUGGCUCCAAUUCUUACCCAGAGACCUCAAGAGACAACAAGUUGGAACUUCGUGUUGGUGUUAUGCCUAGGGUGCCAUAUAUUUGGUUUUGUACUUAGUGUUGUACUAGUGAAUGCCUAAAAAACCAUACGAAAGUUGUUUGUUUUAAAACUUGAGAUUACAUAAAAAGUAUUUUGCGUAGGAUAUGAGCAGUUCCCAUGCGCACUAUCUUUUAUUAUUAUUAUUAUUAUUAUUAUUAUUAUUAUUAUUAUUAUUAUUAUUAUUAUUAUUAUUAUUAUUAUUAUUAUUAUUAUUAUUAUUAUUAUUAUUAUUAUUAUUAUUAUUAUUAUUAUGAUUAGUAGUAGUAGUAGUAGUAGUAGUAGUAGUAGUAGUAGUAGUAGUAGUAGCUACUCUCAUUUGCACCACUUGCCGUGAGGUAGGAUUAUCUGGUACUCUCGACAGGAAGAUGUCCAGCUUUGAUUUAAAGACCGAUACAUCUACUUUGUGCAAGUUCCUCAGACUCUUUGGCAGAAUAUUAAAAAGCAGUGGGCCCUUGAAACCCAGGCUGUUGCAGAAGCAGGUCCUGAAGCGUGAUGGCAUUGCUGGGAUCUUUGGCACUAUGCAGUGUCGUCCCGUUCUAGCAUUGGUGUAGCUUACAAUGCCAACAUUUGGCACAAUUCCUAUCAGGAUCUUCCAGACGUAUAUUACUGCAUACCUCUCCAGUUUUCUCUCCAGGGAGUAGAGUCUUAGCUAAUUCAAGCUCUCGCAGUAGCUGAGAUGGUCCAAAGAGACAAUCUUCUUUGUGAAUCGUCUUUGGAUUGCUUCAAGGUCCGCUGUUAAUUUUAUACUGGUGGGUGACCAUAGCUGUGAGCAGAUAUCCAGGCGGCUAAGCACGAAUGUCCGCCAGAGGGCCAUCAUUGUUUCCUCAUCUCUGGUUCUGAAUGUUCUUAGGAUCUAUCCAGCCAGUCUUCUGCACUUUGUCGCCGUCCUGGUAAUGUGCACUUGGAAAGAGGUAUCAUCACUCAUGUCGAUACCCAGGUCCCUCACAGACUUAGGCUCUGGGGUUGAAAUUCCCUGUGGACCGGUGUAUCCUGUAAGUUUAAUAUUCAGGUUUGUAUGCUGGUAGCGCAGGGCCUGGGAUUUUUCAGCAUUAAACUGCAUAUUAUUAUCCUCAGCCCAUCUGUAGAUCGAGUCCAACUGAUGCUGCAGUUGUGCAACAUCGCUGGGGUUCUGUAUUUCUGCGAGACUUUCGUAUCAUCUGUAUAGCUUGCCAAGUGGCCAUCCGGGCAUUUGAGGGUAUAUCUGAGAGGGCCCCUAUAUAAAGCAGUGGCACCAAGACAGUGCCCUGUGGAACACCGCUCACUAUUUGUGUGUUCAUAGAUGUUGCUCCAUUAACCACUACUGUCUGACUCCUAUCUUUCAGGAAGUCAUGUAACCACACUCAAGUUUUCUAGCUAUGCUGAGGUCACGCAGUUUGUGGCAUAUCAUACCAUGAUCCACCUUGUCAAAAGCUUUUGCAAAAUCAAGGUAGAUUACGUCCACAUUUGAUUUGUUGAGUAACUGCCUCAAAAUCCAGUCAUAAUUUUGUAAGAGCCGGGUCAGGCAGCUCCUACCUGGUCGAAAACCAUGCUGGGUAUCACUCAGCAAGUUAUUUUCCUCAAGGAAUGCGAUUAGUUUCUUUCUGACUAUCCUUUCCAUGACUUUGCUGAUGUGUGAAGUCAGAGAGAUAGGCCUAUAAUUUUUGGCAUCUGCUCUACUUCCCCGUUUAUGUAUUGGGCAUAUUAUUCCCUCCUUCAGCUUGCUUGGCAGUUUGCCAUUCGCAACAAAGCUCUGGAAGAGAAUCUUGAGGGGUUUUGCCAGGGCAUGCUUACAAACUUUAAGGAGGAUUGCUGGAAAACCAUCUGGACAGCAGUUGUGUUUGUGUCCACUCCAUCUAUGGCUAGUAGGACAUCUUUUUCGCCAAUGUCAAUACAUUCUAUUGUAACCGCCUCGCUGGUUAUAGGUGAGGCGGCAAAGACGUCCACUGUUUCGUUCACUUGUCUGUGUUCCAACGGGGUGGUAAAGACACUUUUGAACUGGUCAUUCAGCAUCUCACUGAUCUUUGUUGGACUGUCUGUGAGGGAGCAAUCCUUUUGAUGAAGGGGUCCUAUCUUGUAGUGCACUGAGACUGUUUCUUUCGCGUAAUGAAAGAAGGCUUUUGGGUCGGAUUUAAUGAUUUUUAUAACCCAGGCUUCUUUGUCUGCUUUCUCCCUCACGUAGGAUUGUUGCAGCCUUUUUUCGACCUCCAUCAGUGUUGUUUUUAGGCGGGACGUUUCGCUACUUUUGGGAUGUUGGUUGAGACGAUUUGCAACCUUCGUCCGUCGUCUUAUGAUGAUCUUCCUGUCUCUUGGAAUCUUGCUCCUAGUUGUUUUGGCCUUGUGCUCUGGGACAUAUUUCUGGCAUACGGCUUGCACAGAAGACAUGAAACAUUCUAGUUUCAUGUCAAUGUCUGGUGUGGAGAGACAUUCCGGCCAGUCCUCUCUGAGAAUCUCUUUUUGGAUCGAUUUCCAAUCUUCUUUGUGGAUGUUCAGAUUGGAGAGAUUUAGGGUGCUUCCUUUAGGCUGUAUGUCUCUGGUUACUUUUGGCCCAAACCUAGACAGCUCUAUUAUGUUGUGAUCCGAAACUAAUGUCGGUGUCACUUUCACAUCAUGAAUGAUGUCCAUAUUGUUCGUGAAGCAGAGAUCCAGAAUGUUAUUCGCCCUAGUUGGUUUGAGUACAACUUGCUCCAUGAAUAAGGCGUUGGUGACGUUGAGCGGGGACUCCACCUGUACUUGCUUGCAAUGAUUAAUUCCUGAGAGUAUGAGACCUUCAGGCCAUUUGACGUUGGGAAAGUUGAAAUCACCCAUAAGAAAUAUGGUCACGUGGUGUUCCAGAUUCAUGAGGAUUUCUUAAAUUCUUGUGAGGCAAUCUUCAAACUUGCCUAUGUGAAUUGGGGCAUCCGAUGGGCAAUAUGUAUUGCAUAUGACUAUAUUAUGUUGUUUUAUGUAUACAAUUAGAGUGUCGCAUAUCGAAAUUGAGUAUGUCAUUAAGACCUGGGGUGUCAGGUCAUCUCGAACACAUACAGCAACUCCACCAUGGCUCCUUUCCCUUCUGUCUGUUCGCAGUAUAGCAUAGUUUGGUAUGUGUACAUCUGCGUCUUCUAUAUCAGGGCUGAAGUGAGUUUCCACGAGUGCUAUGCAUAGGGCUUGAUUGCAAGCAGUAAGAUCUCUCAGGAAAGAAAUUUUGUUUCUACUUUGAUGCAAUAGGCCCCCAAUAAUUAUUGAAAGUAUUGGGGUGAUUGCUGUGCAGGCGUUUUUGGAGGCCAUCCAUUGUCUGUUGACUGUGGUGGUCUUGCAUAGUGGUGGGCAGGGUUCAUUCUCUGUGCUUGGUGUAGCCAGGUUAGCUGCUGGACAAUUCUUUGUGCCAUGCAUAAAAAGACUCUUGCUCAGCUGCUGCGUUGCGCAGAACAUCUGAGGAGCGCACUUCUUUUUUGAAAGUUUUCCUGGGAGACAUUUCUUGCCUUCCCUCAGUAAAGCUUUUUUCUUUGAGUCCCCUGAAGUUCUGGCGGGCUAUCGGGUGGGAGAACCGGCGGUUUUUGCCGUCCUCCCCAUGCCAACAUUUGCCCCGCAGGUAGAAUCUACAGGUUCUUCGGUGCCUUCCAGGUUUCUUCUUUCCUGAAGUGUACUGGGUGGCAUUGGAUCCCACAUGGGGUUCUCUGCUGUUUUUGUGGUGGGUCGGGGUUUCAGCUUUGGUCGUUUUUCCUUUUCUUCCCUUUCCCUCCUUAUUUUUGUUUUCGGUCCUUCCUUUUUUCUUCUGUUUUUCUAAUUUCUCAUUUCUUUGUUGGACCACUGGUACAGGGGGGCUUCCGGUUUCUGCUCCCUUGGCUGCCCUAUCCUUCACUACCUGGUCGGUCACCGAGGUAGGUGAUCCAUUUUCCUGAGGAGCUCCUGGAUCACAGAGACUUCCGGCUUCCUUCUCUUUUUCGUUCUCUACAUCCUCAUCAGCCUUGCCACAAUACUUUUCAAUUAUGUUAUCCAAUGUUUUGAUGUGUGGUCUUAUAAGCAUAAAUUCACCUUUCUUUCGCUCUAUUUGGUCAAUGGUUCUAUGAAAUCCAUUGUUGUUUAGCGCGGCAGUGAUGAUGUUGUUCGGCGGAUCACCACUAGCAAUUGUCCAUGCUCUUAUAUUUCUCAGUCGUAAGCUUAAAUUACAGGAAAAUAAACAAAUGAAAGGAAUUUUUAAAUAUUAGUUUUAUAGAGAUAAAAUGAAAGAUAGAUUGAAAGCGAAACAGAAAUUGAAAGAAAGUUAUUCUCAGAAUGUAAACAAAGAUGGCGUCGUAAAUCGUAACUGAGAUGUUAAAGGAAAAUAAAAAAUAAUAAACAAAAAUAUGAAAACGUUACUUAUCGUAAAAAAUACAGUCCAAACCUUCGUGCUUGUACGAAGAAGUUUUCUUUCAAAACAGAAAAGAGAACAAUUCUUUUUCCUUCUUACAUUUGGUUGGAGAUAAGUUAAAGACUUGCCACCACGUGCUUUUUCGGCGAAGAAUCUAGCAUGCGUAACUAACUUUAAUGUAUUAUAUUUGGCUUCAAGCGAAAUAUAUUACGUUUUUAAUUAAUAUAUUUUUAAUUAAUGUAUUUUAGUAGAUCGUUAUGAGUUAACAAGUUCUACGUUUUGUUAGUUUUAGUAGAUUAUUUCGUCGAUUUAUGCAAAUCUUCUUGUUUUUUUCACAGAGCAAAAGCAAACGCGUCUUUCCUCUAGGAAAACCGGAAGUAAUAUAUAUCUGCAUUUGUAUAUAUGUGAACUGAUGUAUAUAUUGUAUCAUUUGAUACUAUUUCAUAAUAUAUGGUCCUUGUGACUACAUUUUCUAAAAAUCAAGAUAUGACCAAAAUUAAUUAUCGCGCUUGCAUUAAAACUUUAUUAAAACAUUUUCUCUUCAGAUGAUCCUCUCUGUAACCAAUACCCAGACGGGAUGAACCGGGACCCUAGUGACUGCCACAGGUAUAUUCCCUGUUUCAAGCGUAACUCAUACCCUUCCAUGCCGUGUCAAUUCAAUCUUUACUUUGACCCCCAAACUCAAAGAUGUAGCGAAAUUCGUCCGCCAUAUUGUCAAAACCAAUGUAAGUAACCUCUUUAUAUUUCAUUUUAUCAUAUUUCGUUUGACAUGUUUAUUUCUAAAUUAUCGCAUUACAGAAAGAUCUAGAGUCCUAGCGGCCAUAGUAAUAGUAAAACUGUCAGAAUGUUUUUGAUAGAAGGGACGAAAAUUGGACAAACAUUAACUCCUCUAUGAUUCGCCUUGUCUCAAAAUUUGAAACCGUUUAAAACGGUGAGUUAUCAAUCCCUUUAGAGCGUCGAAAAAUGCUUAGCUUUGUUUGUUCCGGCUGUUUAUACUCGAGUUCGAAUUCCGCCGAGUAUAACUUCACCCUUUCAUCCAUUCGAGGUCGAUAAAAUAAGUACCAGUGAAAUACUGGGGUUCAUGCAAUCGACUAAUACCCUCCACAAAAUUGCAGAGCUUGUUCCUGUAGUAGAAAUGAUUAUGCAAGGCGGCGAGCUGGCAGAAUCGUUAGCACGCCGGGUGAAAUGCAUAGCCGUAUUUCGUCUGCCGUUACGUUCUGAGUUCAAGUUUGUCCCUUGUUUGUCCCUUCCGUGUUUAGCCCCUUGUGGGUAGUAAAGAAAUAGGUAUUUCGUCUGCCGCUACGUCCUGAGUUCAAGUUCCGCCGAGGUCGACUUUGCCUUUCAUCCUUUCGGGGUCGAUUACAUAAGUACCAGUUACGCGCUGGGGUCGAUAUAAUAAACUUAAUCCGUUUGUUUGUCCUUGACUGUCUCCUCUGUGUAUAGCCUUUGUGGGCAGUAAAGAAAUGAAUAUAAAGUGGUGUUAUUGGUAUCGGCUUCUAUCGUCAUUGGAAAUUGCUGGCCUUAUAUACUGUGAUGGACCAAAGUCACGUUCAUAUGGAAUGUUGUGAUCUUCGUCAGUAAUAUGCCAUGGUAAUUGAUUAAGAGUUCCGAUGUGCCCAGGGCUAAAGAAAAAUAGUAAAUUAUGCAAAUACUAUAGACACUUGAUCGCAAUUUUCUAAUUUAAGUCUUUUACCUACAAGGAUUUAUUUUUGGAAGAUAAGAUUAACUUCUAGAUUUUUAAAAGCAUUUUUAUAUCUUUUUUAUAUCUAUGUAUAUAUAUUCAUAUUUUGUAUAUUUCAGAAUUGCGUUUCAAGAUCAGCAAUGAUCGCAAGGCUGUUCUCUGUAACCAGUACGACUUGAAAUACAAUAACUUUUAGAAAUGUUUUUUUGUGUAAAAUAAAGUUCUUUAAAACU
rnacentral:lncRNA from 1 species